UCCUACGGGGGGCAGCAGCCGCGGUAAUACGUAGGGGGCAAGCGUUAUCCGGAAUUACUGGGUGUAAAGGGAGCGUAGACGGUUAAGUAAGUCUGGAGUGAAAGGCCGGGGCCCAACCCCGGGACUGCUCUGGAAACUAUUGAACUUGAGUGCAGGAGAGGUAAGCGGAAUUCCUAGUGUAGCGGUGAAAUGCGUAGAUAUUAGGAGGAACACCAGUGGCGAAGGCGGCUUACUGGACUGUAACUGACGUUGGGGCUCGAAAGCGUGGGGAGCAAACAGGAUUAGAUACCCUAGUAGUCCCCAUG
rnacentral:rRNA from 1 species